rnacentral:tRNA from 2 species
GCUGGUUUAGCUUAGUUGGUAGAGCAAUUGAUUCGUAAUCAAUGGGUCGUAGGUUCAAAUCCUAUAGCCAGCA